AAGUUAACCUUGUUCAAGUAUCUAUAGAUUGAAUAGCUAUAAGUUCAGGUGUGCCUUGUUAAUUUUAGUCUUGUCUUUGAUAAUUUUCCUAUCGUUAAGAUGGGAUAUGAUCAUAUGAAUUGUGUAUAAGCAGAAGUUAACAAAUUAUAUUAUAAAUAAACUAAUUUUCCUUUUUGGGAGUUUCACCUCA